rnacentral:rRNA from 1 species
UACAGAGGUCCCAAGCGUUGUUCGGAUUUACUGGGCGUAAAGGGUGCGUAGGUGGCAGGGUAAGUUUGGUGUGAAAGCUUCGAGCUUAACUCGAAAAUUGCAUUGAAUACUAUCCUGCUUGAGGGUCGGAAGGGAGACUGGAAUUCUCGGUGUAGCAGUGAAAUGCGUAGAUAUCGAGAGGAACACCGGUGGCGAAGGCGAGUCUCUGGACGAUUCCUGACACUGAGGCACGAAAGCUAGGGGAUCAAACAGG